rnacentral:lncRNA from 1 species
AAUGCAUAGUAUUCCUUAUGGGAAAGAUGGCAUACAUGAAAUGAACAAAUAUAACAAAAAAAGUACAUAAUACAUUAUAAGGGUAAUACAAGUACAAUGCAUAAUAUACCAGUACAUGUUUAAUUGGCGGAGGCAUUUUUUUCUGAUUUUGGUAAGGCAUGUACAGUGCCUAUCUAACAAUUGCUUAUAGAUAUAUUUAGAGUCUUGUUUUGAUGUUUACUCAUAAUCAACAGAUGAUUAAGACACCAGAAUUGAAAAUCUACAAUUCAAAUACUUAUAAUAAAUUUUUGAAAAUGUCAUUAUAUAGCAAUGGGAGAAUGGUUAGUCAAAAACAAUACAGAUGCUGUAUCUAACACUUGCUUUGAAUAUGUCCACACCAUGUACCCAUCAAUACAUAUUUUUUUGUUAGAUACUGGUGUUUUUAUUCGACUGCAAAAAUUGAUUUUUUUUGGUCGUAUAUUGGUAUGACGUUGGCGUCAUCGUCGUCGUCAUCCGAAGACAUUUGGUUUU